rnacentral:rRNA from 1 species
UACGGAGGGGGCUAGCGUUGUUCGGAAUCACUGGGCGUAAAGCGCACGUAGGCGGAUUUUUAAGUCAGGGGUGAAAUCCCGAGGCUCAACCUCGGAACUGCCUUUGAUACUGGAGAUCUUGAGUCCGGAAGAGGUAAGUGGAACUGCGAGUGUAGAGGUGAAAUUCGUAGAUAUUCGCAAGAACACCAGUGGCGAAGGCGGCUUACUGGUCCGGAACUGGACGCUGAGGUGCGAAAGCGUGGGGAGCAAACAGGG